GGGGUAUAGUGUAAUUGGUUAGCACUAGAGACUUUGACUCUCUCAGUUCCAGUUCAAGUCUGGAUACCCCUUCCA
rnacentral:tRNA from 1 species